AGUGAACGCUAGCGGUGCGCCUAACACAUGCAAGUCGAGUGGGUUCAGACCCACGGCAAACGGCUGCGUAACACGUUGGAAUCUGCCCCGAACUCAGGGAUAUCCCUCCGAAAGGCGGAGUAAUACCGGAUGCCCUCGCAAGAGGAAAGAAUUUUCGGUUCGGGAGGAGCCUGCGGCCUAUCAGAUAGUUGGUGGGGUAACGGCCUACCAAGUCUAUGACGGGUAGCUGGUCUGAGAGGACGACCAGCCACACUGGGACUGAGACACGGCCCAGACUCCUACGGGAGGCAGCAGUGGGGAAUAUUGGACAAUGGGGGCAACCCUGAUCCAGCCAUGCCGCGUGAGUGAUGAAGGCCUUAGGGUUGUAAAGCUCUUUUACCCGGGACGAUAAUGACUGUACCGGGAGAAUAAGCCCCGGCUAACUUCGUGCCAGCCGCCGCAUAA
rnacentral:rRNA from 1 species